AUGCAGAACCUGAUCCUGAGCCUGCUAAGUCCUUGGAAAGAACUCUGCUGUCCAUGUUGUCCCCAGCUUGGUUGGUUGUCCAUGCAUGACUAAGAGAUUCAGCAAUGAAAAACAGAUCAAAUGAUUUUCUUUUGUAGAAAUAGCCAGUUUAGAAGUCCUGUCUGCCUGAAGAACUUUCAGAAGUGUCAUGAAGCUGUCAGAGGAAUGCCAUCAUACAAUCUCAGAGAAGUCUUGGAAGAUGGAUUACCUGAAAACCUGCUCUACUUUCUGUUUUGAAUUUUUAUUGAAGUGUGACCUAGCUUUAAAUCAACAGUAUGGUAUUUCUGGAAUUAGAUGGUACCCAGGAGCACACCAGAAUCCAGCUGCAUUAUGAUUAUUUUUUUUAAAUGUCCAAAAAUAAAAUAAGUUCAUCAUUGACAAGAAAAAGCUACAUAGACCCACAUCAGAUUAAUUCAACCCACAUUUCCUUCUCCUUUCUAUUUCAGCUCAGAUACUCCAACCAUCUCCCAGAUUUUGUCCCCUUGCUUCUCAUCUUUCUACUGUAAAAAGACGGUGGGGGGGAUAUGUAGGCUUUGUUUUCCAUCCAAAGGUGAAGAACAGAUAUGGAAGGAAGCUGGAGAUAACAGGUCACCAAACUAACAUAUGUCUUUGCCCAGACAACAGUGGUGCAACAUGACUUAAUUUCCAGGAAAACAAGAAAUAAAUGUUCAUGUAAUUAAAGUCACAGAAAAGAGUUCUCACUGAUUUUCAUGAGAAACAUUUUCACCCUGAAUAUAGAACGCUUUUAACUUUCUAAAUUAGAAGAGAAACCCAAACCACCAAUGCAAAACCAUAACAACAAUAGCAUUUUUUCCAAACAGUACUUUCUUCAUUUCAGCACAACACUGAAAGGAAGCAUUACUUUGCUGUUUUAGCACAAGACUUCUUUUAAAUUAAAUACUUCUAUGAAGACUUUCUUGUGUUGUAAUAGGAGUUUUUCAAGUUACUAACACAUUUCAAAAAUAAACUAGUUGUAAUGACCACAAAAUACCACCCAGCAAUACACAUUAGAUGAGUAUUUUUUUUCUUCAUUUUUUUCUCUUCUUUUUCUCAUAUAUACCAGAUGAUAGUUUCAUGCAUGUAACUCACACUUAAAAUUUCAAGUCUGAGAACAAAAGUUUCUGUCUAAAUAUAUGAAUGCAUAAACACUUCAUUAUUUCUGCCUGCACUCAUAAUUGUUUCUGGACACUGAUGUUAAGAUGGAAGAUUCCAGUAUCUAGACCACAAGAUCAGUGAGGUCGGACUUUGCUGUUUCCCCUGCAUUAUACUCGCCGUUUGAAUUUAGAUGAAUCAUUUAAUCAUAGUGUGUCCCCAAAGUGUAAAAAAGUAAAAGAACAGGUGAUCAUGUGGAAUUAUUUUGGAAUCUUCAGGUGAAAAUUAGUAAAAGAUUAUUUUUUUUUGUUGAAAUAAUUCUUUGCAAUGAAGAUACCCUUGGAGAGUGAGUUUCUUAACUUCUAAUGCCACCCUUCUUCAAAGUUGUUGAAAUCUUUGAUACAAA